UAGGGAAUCUUCCGCAAUGGGCGAAAGCCUGCCGGAGCAACGCCGCGUGAGUGAUGAAGGUCUUCGGAUCGUAAAACUCUGUUAUUAGGGAAGAACAAAUGUGUAAGUAACUAUGCACGUCUUGACGGUACCUAAUCAGAAAGCCACGGCUAACUACGUGCCAGCAGCCGCGGUAAUACGUAGGUGGCAAGCGUUAUCCGGAAUUAUUGGGCGUAAAGCGCGCGUAGGCGGUUUUUUAAGUCCGAUGUGAAAGCCCACGGCUCAACCGUGGAGGGUCAUUGGAAACUGGAAAACUUGAGUGCAGAAGAGGAAAGUGGAAUUCCAUGUGUAGCGGUGAAAUGCGCAGAGCUAUGGAGGAACACCAGUGGCGAAGGCGACUUUCUGGUCUGUAACUGACGCUGAUGUGCGAAAGCGUGGGGAUCAAACAGG
rnacentral:rRNA from 1 species